rnacentral:tRNA from 1 species
GGACUUCAAGUAUAUCAAGUUCCUCUCCCCUCCAAGUGGAAAGUCUAAAUAAGUUUAGGGAAGUUA